rnacentral:misc_RNA from 1 species
GCUUUACCUUGAAAGAUGGAAAAGAGCUGGCCAGCCAAAGAGCGUCUACCUCGACUUUGGGACGAAGUUCCUCCUUCUUGCUUCUCCUUCUUUCGCCUUGUGUACGUUUCAUUCGAUUGCCUUUACAUUUUCUUUCCGUCUUUCAGUAAACCUCUCUUUUCUUUUCCUCGAAGAGAAGGGGAUAGCAGCCUCACCCGUUGGCUAGCUCAACACUAAGCGCACGUCUUGUGGCCAUCAACAGUCGACCAAGAGGAGGUGAAGCGGGCGGUUGGUUGGGCAGCGCUUCUACCCAAAACUUUGGUUGGUACUGAAAGAAAAACAACAAACCAAGUAAUGAAUAGUUCUCGUUACUCAUCUAUUAUUAUUUUAUUCGAAAAACUGUUGCAGCACCACGAGACUGCGCUCCAUUCCAAUUGUGACAUUCCAACAGACGUCGAACAAAAUCCCAUCAGCUGACGGGAUCUCCCAAUUGGAGGAAGAACUGUGACCCAAAGAUUUGUCAGACGCCUGGUCGUCAGGAGCAAAGACCCUGUGAAAUAAGAGGCUGUAUCUUAAGUGUUGUUGUAGUGGGUGGAGUGGGAGGUGAAUACGUACAUGGUUUCAUGCCCUUUCUUGACGGGAUCCCACCUCGCAGUGUUCUGUGUCGCUUCAAUGUGUUAUAAAAACACGGACACACCGAGAAAGAAGAGCCGGUCCGUUUCUAUAGUUGAGUCUGCAAUGAAAUGACUUUACCUUGACAGCAAAGGCGAUAACCACGCGUGUGUGUGUGUGACUGGCGUUCAACCUGCUUAUACAUCUCCUUUCGUGUAAAGAAGCUGACUGUGUGUUAAAGAAGCCAUUCACGUUCGUCUCCUGGAAGAUCUAAACAGGAACGAAAAGAAACAAAAGUGGGACGUUAUAUCAUCAAAUCGAGUUUUCCAGUUCUUUUCGGAAAUGGAAUUCAAGUUCAAUGUCAUCAUCAGAUUUUGUUGAUUAGCGUCCAGUGCGGGAAUCUUUUUUUUUUUUUUAUUAGUUUCUUUUUUCUACUGAAGAAAUUAAUAGAAAGAGGAAAAAAAACAAAAACGAAGUAGAAAAAUAACAGGUGUGUGUUUGUCACCGUGCGAAAUCCUGUUGCGCUUCUUAUCGAUCCGAUAUACCACAAAAGUAUUGAGAGGGAACAAUUUAAAAACAAAAAAACUAAUUUUACCCUUGGAUCUUUCUCGUUUGGCUGCACCGCCGUGUUUGUGUGUGUGUGUGAAAAAUGAACAUUCUUCCAGCAGCAGCAGUUGAACAUUCCCAUCGAGUGUUGGCUGACGUGUACGUGAUUCGACCAGCAAGGUGGCGCGUUCACCGUGUCCGGCUGGCCUAGCAUUCGUAUACAGUCUUUGAGCGUCGUCCGAGACGGCCACAAACUCCGCCGGUAUUUGAAAAACACAAAAACAAAAAAUGCAUUUGAUCGAAAAGACGUCAGCAGGACCAACGUCCAGUCCCGAAAUGGCCGAAGGCCAAAGACACAAUCAGCAGUUGCGGGUUAAUUCUCGUCCGUGGGAUUACGACACAGAGGACAGUGGCGUGGACAGCGUGAGCAGUUUGGCCGGUUUGGAAGCGGACAGUGGUCACGCAACGACAAGUGCGGGCAAGGCGAGCAGUGUCGAAUACUCGGCCGUCAUAGUCAGCAACAACAAGGUGAACAGUGUGGCUGAAAGCAAACAACCCGUCCAGCAAAGGAAAUCUUUCUUACACACAGUCUACGGUGGCGCCCAGCAGUCUCGGCGGUCUCCACCGACGCUGGAUUGCAACGCCAACCAGAAUUUAUUGCGCAAGAAUGUGGCCAAUAAGGCGCUCACGAAACGCGGAGGUGUGCACGGUGCGGAACAAAGUGCUGGACACGACAACCGGGCGCUCGAAUCGGCCAAAAAUCAUUUUCUGCAUAGUUUGCUGGACGACGAAGAGACCGUCGGCCUUGACCCGAGAUCCAGCCGAGCGGAACAAACACCUCCGCCGCUUGCAACAGAAUCUCCAGCUUCAUCAACGUCGGCCGCAGCUUUAGAUUUGCUACCCGAGCUGGUCCAACUGCUGGACGCCAAACGAGUGAUGGACGGCGGUUUGAUUGAGCUGGUCGGGCGAGACGGGACGAGGGCCAGUCUUCGGGUGACCUUGGCACCUCCUUCCAGUCCUUCUUUCUGCUCAUCCGCCACAUCGUCGGUCAUGACGUCACGCAAGAACAGUUUCAAUAGCCGUCUGCAUCGUAACUCGAAACGUUCAUCUCAGCGGAGAUGCAAACAGCCAGAAGUUGCAGAAGCAACGAGCCUCGCUUCCAGCAACAAGUCGGCAUCCUCUUCCGGAUCGACUCCGUCUUUGGCCAGCAACUUGUCCAGCGGCGGUACGGGUUUGAUUGGCGUUCAGCGGCCCCGCAGCGUCCGACGCCGACCUUCGCUAACGUCGCAUAAAAAAGUUGUUCCUGGCUUUAGUGUCUCGAUGGCCAUACCCCCGAGCAAAGUAGCUAUUUUGGCCUCGAAAUUCAAUUCGCUCAUCAACGAAAGUCGACGGCACAGCAACACCAGCGCCACCGCUACAACGACGACGCCUAAUCAUAACAACAACAACAACAACAACAAUACGAAUAUCAUCCGCGAUAAGAAAUCAUCGGAUGGCGUUGGUCAACCGGUUGCGGCUGAUCCGGUCGAAAUUCCGGCACCCAAUCAGCGUCCAAUCUCGUCCACGUGGUCUUGGCGUUUGGUUGGACCCACCGUCUCGACGGGCGACUCCGUCCACACCGGCCCCAAGCGAAAUAAUAUGACGUCAGGUGUCGGGAGAAGUCGGCCGAUCGAUACCAUUCCGGAAAUCCUGGAUCCGCCGCCGGAAGAGUCUGACAAAAAGUCGAGCAGCGUCGAUAAACCGCGACGGAAGAGCCACGAUCUCUCUCAACCUUAUGGCGGAAGGUUUCACUCGACAGCCAGGCCGUUGCCUUCAGAUCCAGCAGGAUCUUCUUCGUUGAAGAACCGUGAAAGUGUCUACGGCACGGUGAUGAGCAUCGUCAAACAAGCCAUCCGCAAAUUCGAGAAAUUCGAAGAUGGCAAAGUGGUGGUGGGUUGCGAUUCAACGGGUGGCAAUCCAUCGGCUCCGGCGGCUUGUUUAGAUGAUCAGGUGGCCGCCUCUUCUUGUUCUGUUCAUUACCAAGAACCGACGGCUGUUAUUCCGGAAGGAAUCGAGCCAAACAAUUCCUUUUUGUGGCGAGAUCAGAAGAGUAUGCAGAGUUUGAUCUACGAAGCGACCAGUUUCAACGAACGAGUGGCGGCAACGGCGGCCGUUUGCGGAACGAUGCGGACGAACGCCGAGCCUUGCGACUAUUACGAAAUGGGCAGCAGCAAAUACGACACGCUCCGGUCCCGACAAUCGAACGCUUACGACACGCUUCAUCAUCGAAAUCAGAGUAAAUCAUCGUCGUCUUCAUCCAGCGGCUACGACGAAAUCCAAUCGCCUUGCAGUUUGACGUCGAAUCCGUCCGAUACGGCCACAUCCGUCAAGUACGACGACGUUAAACUGACGCCCAACUGCGUGACUUACGACGAGUUGUCCUACCUCACCGGCCGGAGGCAAUCCAACGGCUACGACGAGCUGAUGCGUUCGCCUCUAUCCACCACCUCUUCCGGCGGGUACAUAGAUCCGGGCAGUAGUUCCGCGUUGGGGUACGAAAGAAUCUUGCCCCCGGAAGAUCAUUUAGCCAAUGCCGAACAGACGGAAGACGAGGACGGAAGUACGUUGCGUUAUGAAGAAUGCGGAUCACCUUCCGCCGCCAUUCAGGCAUCUUCUUCCGUCAUCACUGUGACAGCUCUCCCUGCCAUCGUGUGCGAAGAUCAGUUGGAUAGCAUCAGCUACCUUUACGACGACAUCCGCACCGUCGAUUUGGGAAGGAACAGCAGAGGCUACGGCGGAUGUUAUAGCGGUUCUAAUCAUUCAUACGAGCCCAUUUAUGCCCACCUGGGUGAAGGCACCAGUAAAAUGGGGGGUUUAAAUUCUUCUUCUUCUUCCGUGUCUUCCUCCUUGGCCGGUCAAAACGACAAAUCCAGCGACACACUGUCAGACUCAUCGGUGGAGGGCGUGCACGAAGUUUGCUCCUACAAAUUGACCCAGAUGGGCAGCGGUGCGGUUCCAGACUCGCCCGCGCCCAGUUUGGCCGGAACAUCGACAUCAACUCGGACGGGAGCGGAGCGCCGGAGCGAAACGAGCGACGAAUGGAUCGAUAUUAGCGAUCCGGACGAGCCGGCGUGGACGGUAACGCGCAUUCGCCAAAGGCACGAAGUGACCAACGCUUCCUUCGUGCGUAGAGGGCAUCGAGCCAGCCGGCGUAAACUGUCCAUUCCAAAGGCAAGUGGGCAGCAAUCAUGGUCGCAAACAAUGCGCACCCUAGUCAAGAACGGAUUCAACAAAGCGACGACGCUCUCCAAGCGCUCCGGCAAAGAUAUCCAGCAGCAACAACAACAACAAGAACAGCGGGCCGGUAAAAGCAAGCCGUCGAUGGUAGCGAGUAAUGUUGCCGGAACAAGCAAUGCAGAGGCGCCGUCUGCUACGUCGGCUGUUCAUUUGACCAAGUUAUCGGCCAGGCGACUACCUUCGGCCGAAACGGAAGCCAGCGGAACGGGUAGCAGCCAAACGUGGGAGGACUACGGCGAAAGCGACGGCGAUGAUCUGGUCGACGAUCAUCAUUACGAAGCGCUUUACGAAGUCAUUAAUCCGCGAUUGCAGUCCAGUGGGGCCGCAGCUUCCGUGACACUUUUGGAUCACAACGACGACAGUUUCGAUGAUUCAUUCGAUUCGGAUGACGCUUUUGAAGAAGUCGUGGUUCGAGGAUUGGAUGCAACAUCGGAUACGUCGAGAGAACGUCCUGGAUCGAGAUCAGGUUCGGAACGAUCCAAGGAGAGCGAAGAUCCAUCGUUACGGUCGGGUCAAGUGAAAAUCGGUCGAUUCGCUGAUUUAGCUGGUGAGCAAAUGCGCCGACUGCGUCGUAAUUGGACCACGACCAAGACGGACAUUGGUAAAUCCAUCACGCGCAUCAAGAAGAAGAGCACGGCAAGCGUAGCAGAUUUGAGUGAAGUCUUUAAAGCAUCCGCUUCGAGACGGGAAGUGUCUCCGGAUAAGGGCAACAAUGGAGCAGCCAAUAAAGAGCCGAUCUAUUCGCCAUCGCCGCCAACUUCUCCAGCUCAUCCGGAGGUCCGUCCAAACAGCGGUGAACAGAAGAAGAAAGGCACAUGGGCGAUGCGCCAAAUUCGACGCCGCAUGACUAUCGUGUCACCCACUUACGGUGCCACUGGAAACAAAGAAAAAGCUUCGACUUUCUAUCUGACGUUGACUAUCGAGCAGCCAACGACACCAGUCAAAACCAAUGACAAAAGCCUCAGUGAAACGUCCAGUCCAGAACCACAGUCGACACCCAGUCCUGUGCCACCGUUGAUUAGUCCUCAAUCUUCUGAUUCUUCCAAAGUGCCCGCUCGUCCGAAGAGGAUAUCUUCCGCCUGCUCUCUGGGUCCCCAAUAUCAAUCAACAGUUCGACCUAAAACUGCUCCACCUGCUCCACCAGUUAAAUCCUCGGUAUGGCAACAACAGGCGGCAGCCGAAUCUGCAUUGGCAGCUUCACCUCCUCCGCUGGCCAGCGUUCCAGUUAAAAAGCCUCUGUCAAGGCUGCCAACGGCCUUCAGCGAGAGCCGGAUAGCCGCUGAACGAUCCGUAUUGAUGGAUGAAUACCAAUCGAUGAAUUAUAGCGACAUUGCUUUCGUUACACAUGGACAGAGACCCAAAGACGAAAGCAGUGCUCCACUUACCUCUUUGAGUACACCUUACAGCCGACUGUCUAUGGCCAGCGUGACUUCGUCACGCCAUUCGAGCGAAACUUAUAUGGGCGUCGGUGAUCUGGCUUCUGCGCCCGAACGUUCAACGCUACAGGACAACGUCCGCAAUUAUCUGGAUCUGCAAUCGCCAAUCGAGUCGGAGGAAUUGUACAUUAGCAGUCAUUUCGCCGACGAGCCACUAUAUCAGUUUUACACAGCUGCCAUUAUUGAGCGUGCCACGCAAAACCAAGGAGAUGGAAGCGAAGAGGACGACUAUGAAGUCAUCGGUGAACACCGCCGCAAAGAGGACGAACAUCAAGACAUUAAGGGAUACAAUGCCAAAUUGCCGACAGCCAUGGAACUGGUGAUGCCAUCAAGCGGUCGCAGAACUCUGUGGUGUGAAUUACCUCAAGUCAUCAACAGCGGCCUUUUAGAAACCAUUUCACCGCAACAGCGCAAACUUCAAGAAGCCAAAUUUGAAUUGAUUACGUCAGAAGCGUCGUACCUGCGAUCGCUGAAUGUGUUGACGACCCACUUCAUACAGAGCCGUGAAUUCGCCGGAGAAACAGCCAGCGAAGCAUUGCUCACUCGACUGGAACGUCACACACUUUUCUCCGACAUUGUACCCGUGCGUGAAUGCUCUGAAGCUCUGCUAGCUGACCUGGAACAACGUUGGCAAGAGAACGUCUUUAUUCGUGAAAUAUGCGAUAUCCUCCUGGAACACGCGUCGAAACAUUUCGAAGUCUACAUCAAGUAUUGUACCAAUCAACUGUACCAGGAGCGUAUGCUCAGAGACCUCAAGGAGACCAAGCCACAGUUUGUCGAGUGUUUGCGUCGAUUAGAGUCUAGCCCCGUCUGUCAGUCAUUGGCCAUGCACAGUUUCUUGAUGUUGCCAAUGCAACGCAUCACUCGGUUACCGCUACUCGUAGACGCCAUUUUUCAUCGAUUGGAGAGCGGCACACCCGAAUUUGAACGCUGUCGGAUGACUCUUGCCACUCUGAACAAGAUUGUGCAAGAGUGUAACGAGGGAGCCCGCAAAGCUGAGCGCAUCCACGAAAUGCUGGUGGUGUCCAAUCAGUUGGAUUUUGCCGACGUCAAGGCAAUAUCUAUCAUGUCUGCUUCACGCUGGUUGGUCAAGAAAGGCGAGAUGCAGCGACUCAUGUGGCGUGACAUUGACGCCCGGCUCACGUUCGGACGCAAAAUCCACAAGCAGACAGUCUACGUUUUUCUGUUUACUGAUCUCUUGGUCAUCACUAAAAAGAAAGGAGAGGAUUCUUACGCCGUGCUGGACUAUUGCCCUCGAAACAUGGUUCAAGUGGAUGAACACAUGCGCACGGAAAAACCUAUUGGGAAACCAGGAUCAGAGCUGGGAAAGAAUUUGAUCCUCUUGACGAUGCUGCAAAACCAUGAAAACAAAACAGUAGAAAUGAUUCUCUCUUGUUCGUCUGAAUCCGAUCGGACUCGAUGGCUGGAAGCCGUCACUCCACGGACGUCUGACAAUCCAGAAGAGAAGAUCUACGAAGAAUGGGACUGCCCCCAAGUCCAGGCCAUUCAUCCUUACGUUGCCACUCAGCCGGAUGAACUGUCUCUGGAAGUCGCUGACGUAGUCAACGUCCUGCGUAAAAUGGCAGACGAUGAGGAAGAUGAUGAUGGCUCUGCUGAAAUGACUGCGCUUUGAGAUGGGUAACACACAGCUGGGAAACUUGUAUAGUGACCGAUUAACUCCAUUUAGGUUGGUAUCAAGGCGAACGGAUGCGAGACGAUCAGCGCGGCUGGUUCCCGGGCAACUACACAGUGGAAAUCGCCUCAUCUCACGUUCGAGCGCGCAAUCUACGUCAACGCUACAGAUUGCUGGCGCUAUCUGGCAA